GCAUUAAUGGGGUAGUGGUAACCUGGGUCGUUGCCAUCCCUUCUGAGCUCGCUCGACCCGCCGGGGGUUCGAUUCCCUCUUAAUGCA